rnacentral:lncRNA from 1 species
ACCCCCACCUCGGGGCUCGCACGCGCCCUCCCCGCCCUGCCGCCUCCCUCCCCGCCGGCCACCCCUGGCCAUUCCGGGGCUCCCCGCCCGGGCAGGAGUUUCCGCGCGCCUGGCACCCCCGCCCACCCCCGGGCCAUUUACCGAUGUGGUUGUCCUCGAUGUGCUCGAUGAGGUCGGCCAGGGUGGGGAAGUGGAGUCCGCAGCCCCCGAAUCGGCAGAGAUGGAGUUUUGCCAUUUGCCCAGGCUGGACUCGCAGUCCUGGACUCAACCACCUUGGCCUCCCAAAGUGCUGGGAUUACAGCCCUUCUACCGUGAAGGUGAGCCGUGAAGUCUAUUGCCCAGGGAUUGGGGACGUUUGUAUUAAAGAAGGUUUUGGAGUACAGAAGCAGGAAGAUGUGUUGUGGAGAUGCUGUUGGCAGAAACAACUGGCCUUGACUAAACAAACCAAGAGUUCCUACAGGAGCAGAGGCAACCGGGUGAAGGCUGACGCCCUUGCACAGGCUUGGGCAGCUCUUCUCCACAUGUCCACGUGGCUCACUUCCUUACCUACUUCAGGGCUCUGCUCACACGUCACCUCCUCAAGAAGGCCUUCCCCAACUACCCUGUCCU